UAAAAUGAUCACUCAGUGAAGAAAAUGGGUUUCAGCUUUAUGUGGAAACGUGUGGAUGCCCAGAGUCAGGGGGGUGGAGUGAAGUGAAGAAGUGUGGUCCUGGUAGGACAGAAGAAGCAGCAGGCAGACGAAACAGACUGCUCCGCUCUUGACUUUGACAACCUUACAAAUAAGGGUAAGCAUUUGCCUGAAGUACAGUCUCCCUUCUUCCUCAGGAGACCCCAGGUUUGUUCGGAGAGGCAAAUGACCCACAUAACAUUCCUACUUGUACCAGCGUGCUUGUCACCAGAGGUGGCCUUGUGACGCAAGUCUAGCCAAUGAAAGAGAGAAAGUUCACCGCAGGUUCUGGGUAAGUUUUACUACGCAGAUACAGCCAACUCCUUCUUUCCUGUUCUUCCUUUCUCUCCUUUUCCUCCUCCUCCAUCUCCUCCUUCCCCCUUUGUUCCUCUUUCUUCUUGUUUGGAAUGUGGGUGGGAGAGCAAAGAUAAAACCCUCCUCUAGGACUCUGAGGCCUCUGUGGGAUGAAAGCCUUAUGCUUCAGGUAACAGGACAGAGCCAGGGAGGAGCCUGGAGUCUGGAUGAGCCUGGGGAGCAGCUAAACAACCUUGUACUUCAAUGUUCUGACCUCCUGUCCUGUGGGAAAGCGAGUCCUGGUCUGGAUGAUUUUCUAUUUCAGUUGACAAAGGGGCUGAGAGAUGAGAUGAGAUUGAACAUGCUCUGGACAAACCAGAGAGAGUUUACGAGCAUAAAUACGCAGAUCAAGGAGCAAGUAAAUGUGUCAGAAACUGGUGGCUUCAUCUCCAGAACAGGAACAGUCCACACCUUUUCGACGGUUAUGUCUAGCGCCAUACAGAUUGCAUGUCCCGUGUGCAGAUCCUGCUGCUGGUUUCUUGAAGGCGUAGUAGAAACGUGGAAACGUCAAGUGGGUUCACCCAUCGCAGCUGUACUGAAUCAGAGCAGAGACGAAGUUCCAGAUGAAGUGACCAGUCGGGAGACCUGCUGUUUCCAUGCAUUACCAAUGAGCCAUUCCCAUCAUAAAAGAGUCAGCCAGAGAUAUCUAAUAAUUUCCACCAUGCAAUUAUUAUUACUAUUUAUCUCAAUGGAAAUUGGUGCAUGUUUGGAGUUGAAACGCUAAGUAAAGAUCUGGAGCAUUCAAAAGGUAAUUAUCCUCCCUUGAAUAUUGACAUACUUACAUGUUUU
rnacentral:lncRNA from 1 species